UUCCAUCAACUGUUUGAUAGCCAGGCAUUCAUGUGCAGUAUUCUUUCUUUUUUCAAUACACUUCUAUGGAGUAGAAGGAAUAAGGACAACCCCACCUGAGCCCAAAGGUGCUGAGCUUCCUUCAAUAUCCAUGGGGAUAUCGUUAUAAGAUUUUUACAGCAUUUUCCCCCCAAACAAUGGAUUAGCAGAAAGGAAUAACUAGCAGUGGACCUGAUGUGAGCUUUUCCAAAUCCAAUGAAAUGGCUAAAAGUUUGACUUUGUUGCACUCACAACAGCAAAUAUGCCCAUGAAUAGCUUGCAAACAAAAUAGUUCAAUAACUUGAAGUGAAGAAAUGAGAGAAACACAUGGAUAUUGGGAUUUUAUUUUCCAACAAGAAUUGCUGUGGAAUGUUGUUGUGUGAAGUUAGCUUGGUCUGUUCCACCCCGCCACCAAAAAAAGAUUGCUUUUUGAUAGAGGUCCCAAACUUAUGAAAUAAUUUUCCAGAGGAAUUGUGAUAAAGCAUUUUUCUUCUGGCUUUCUGAAAUGAGUGAAAGAUAUUUCACUUUAGGAAAGCUAUGGGUAGUCACUGACAUUGGGAGUUAUUAGAUGAGUUAUUAGAUGAGUCAAACUCUGGGCUGGCAGUUUGUAUGACAUUUUAUGCCAUGCAAUUCUCAUGAUAUUUGUAUAGAUUCAGGAGCUGCUGCACCUGGGCAUGACUGCAAGAGAGGCAAAACACAAAUAUUUCAAAUUUAAAAAUAUAUGUACUCUAAAGGAUUUUAGAGUUUGUAGAAGGAUGAGGCUACAUUUGCACACAGAUGAAACAGGCUUUGUUUAUGCUCCUGAGACAAAAUUGACUGUUCCAAAAUGUUUAAAAUCUGUACAGUAGUCUGUCACAAAACAGGAAAAACGAAGUGUUCCUAAACUGAUUACAAACUUUCUUAAAAGCCAGUUUCUUUCACAGAUUAAAGUAACAACAGAAAAAUAGGUGAAUUUUAAAAAAAUCAAGAAUCCUCCCUAAGUAAAGGUAAGAGGAAUCAUGGAUGAAAGACCAAAAGCAAUCUCUUUUCCUAUCUCUUCUAUAUACAGUAUAGCAAUAGCCUCUGUGCAUAUAAGACAGAGAAGAAUUAUUGAAAAAUAGGGGUUCCCUGCGCAGAAGCCAAAUUCAAGAGUCACAUACCAGCUAGCUACUUAUAGCUAAAGAAGUCAUUCUAUCUGACUUAUCUAGAAGAAGGAGGCGCUCUUCAUAAAUGGUUCAUUUUCUAUUAUUAGAGAAGUUGUGUUUGUAAAACAGUGAAAAUCUAUACAGCCAUUUAUAACUGACUGGCAUUUCAAAACUGGGGGCUUGGAAUUUAUAAAAAUACCAUCACAAGAGUACAGAGCUAUACAACAUUCAACAUAUCAGUAAAAAGUGGGUAGUAUCAUACUGUAUUUAAAUUUCUCUUUUGGAAAGACAUAUUUAAAAGGAUGUGAGAUAAAUUAAUUUUAUUUGUUGCAAAUUCAAGUUUCUUUUUUACUUCCUUUUUUAUACUUUUGAUGAAUUAAAAAAGAAUCACAAUCUAAUUUCACAAUUUAGCUGCAUUAUAAAGCACCUUAUUUACUUCAGAUUUCCCCAGCAAAUCACACUCCAGGUAGGUUGAACAGUUAUAAUCCCAUCAUCACCAGUCUCUUGGACUGCCCGUCAGGUUGGCCGAGGGUGAUAGGAAUUGUAGCCCACUAUAUCCAGGGGACCAGGUUGGGUAAAAGCUGAGCUGAUGUCAGGUUCAGCCCAAGAAACUCAGUGGGACAAUUCAGGAACAGUUCA